rnacentral:rRNA from 1 species
UACGUAGGGGGCAAGCGUUGUCCGGAAUUAUUGGGCGUAAAGAGCGUGUAGGCGGUCCGGUAAGUCAGCUGUGAAAGUCAAGGGCUCAACCCUUGAAAGCCGGUUGAUACUGUCGGGCUAGAGUCCGGAAGAGGCGAGUGGAAUUCCCGGUGUAGCGGUGAAAUGCGCAGAUAUCGUCAGGAACGCCAAUGGUGAAGACAGGUGACUGGGCUAGUUCUGACACUGAGGCACGAAAGCGUGGGGAGCGAACGGG